CUAACUCAUUUAUUACGAGACCGUCCCAGCGACCCCGUCCAUAUCUGCUCAUUUAUCACCACAAAGUCGAGAGGAAGAACCCUAGGUACACCUCAUGGAGAACGCCAACCAAGGUGUGGAUCCGCACGUGCUUGAUAUAGUCAAUUUCCCAGAUCGUGCAAGGCGGGUGGUGACGUUUGUGGCGAGGCGCGGCCAGUUUGCGGGCAAGAGGUUCUUCAAGUGCCGCAACCACAGCCUGGGGAGAGGCGGGUGUGAUUUCUAUUGGUGGCAACAAGCAUAUGCGGAGCACUUGGCUGGGCUUGGACCAGUCGUGCCUCCAUUGGCGCAAAUUAAUCAGGGAGAAAAUGGCAUCGGAGGAGUAGAUCAAGGUGGUCAGAUGCAGCCGGCGGAUCUAGCGGGAGGCCAGCAGAUCGGAGGGCUGGAUGCCUCCAACAUGGCAUCCACGGUGGCCGAUGUUGCAAGGUCUUCGAUCCGCGUGGUGGCUGUUGGUUGGCGUCAGGAAGCCACAACUCUUGAUCCCGCAUUUAUCAAUAUGGUCAUGUCUGUCGGCAAUAUGGCUAUUUGCGUUGCCAUCCUUUACUGGUUGUGGCUGCAAUCGUGAUCGAUGCACUUGAUGAGUCGAUCCAAUAUUAGCAGCUUAUGGAUGCUUAGUAGGUGUCAAGGGUUAAGUAGUAUUAGCGGUGUGCGCAUGUUAGCCAUAUGCUUUUGGCUUGGUAACCUUGUUGCUUGUAUGUUUGGACCUAUGGCUAGUUUUAUUUAAUGAAAUGUUGGUAAUGUAGACGUAAUGAUGGACAACAUCUGUAGUAUGUUUCCUUUCUUUAAAAAAUUUAGCGAUGAAUGCUUUUAUUGCAUGCAGUCCAUGUGGAUGGGGGGCACCUACCCAUGUGCCUACAACAACUAGCGUUUUGAGCCAUGAAGUAACACGUACCACAGAGUGGGGGAGUUUCAGACGGUGAUGUUACUCACCAACCACCCGGCUCGCAGCUGUUUUCAUUUCCCCAGCCCCAUUCACAUUCCCAUCAACUUGCCAUAAUGAAUGCUCUAUGCCAGGUGUAAAGCUUGAAGGUUGCUUUCUCUCAACCAGGGGGUGUGCUGGUGGGGGUUCUCGAAUUGCAAUGUUGGUCUAGAUCUGGCUGAGUAGCUCGAUCCAGACGAACUCACCUGCGUGAAUCGGCCUCUUGUUCUAAAGUCUUGGUUCACGGGCGUCUACGCGAGAUCGUCAGGUUAAUAGAUGGAGGAAGAGGAUGAAAACCAUGGGUGGGGAGGCGGAAGUCAUGAGCAAAUAGAAUUUACUUGUGGUGUUGCUAAAAUUCAAGGAGAUGUUUUGGAUGAUCAGACAGGGCUGACUUUGUGGCUGUCUGUCAAGCAUGUAGUCAAGGUCGUCACAAGAUUUGAUGAGUACAAGAGAUGGCUUGUGUCUGAGAUUGGUUUUGACGGUAUGCUCAAACUUCCAGUGCUGGGGAAGAUGGAUUUAAGGAUGAGUGUGUGGAUUAUGCGGAAGGUGAAGGUUAAGCUGCGCACAAUAGUUGUUGAUGAAGAUAGGGUGAUUCCUUUUGUCCCAGAGGAUUUUCACAAAGUUUUUGGGGUGCCAUGCGGCAACCGUGCUGUUCGUGGAAGGGACCGCGAAAUCAAGACUGCAGCAGUAGAGUUCAUGAAGCUGACAAUUGGGAUGAAUGCAUCACCUGCUCACAAUUUGAAGGCGGCAAAAGAUUUUCUCGGUAGGGAUAUAACAGAGGACUCAAGCAAGAUUGAGAAGGAUUGUUUCCAGAUUUCUUUUGUUAUCUUUGUGAUGGGUUACGUAUUGUCAUCGGGCACAAAAUACGAGCACAUGACGAUUGACUUUUGGGGCGCUCUUGCCAAUACUGAAUUAAUAUCUCAAUUUAAUUUGUGCGAGUAUGCCGUUGAUAAUCUCAUGGCAGCCGUGAUCAAGUUGCAGAUGGAAUAUCAUAACAAGGCACAAGUAGUUCAUCUUUCCGGAUGUCAUUUGUUCUUUCAGAUUUUUUUGUUGGACAACAUUGAUCUAGGGAUUUUCAACAUGAUACAUUAUGUAUUCCCGCGAAUCCAGUGUUUUGACUAUAAAACGCUUCGUCAGAUGAUUACGAUGGCGCGGUGCGAGCAGCGAGGGAGUAUAACCUAUGUCCCUGGUGUUCUGCGGCCAGCAGAUUCUGUGUGCUAUGUCUGGGUCUUUGCGGCUAGCCCAUUGUGUAUGGAAGGUAAAUCACGUCCAUCUUCACCGAAGCAACCAUCUUCAAGGAUGUCUGUGACACCUAAAUAUCAGACAUCAAAGGUUCGUUUAGAUGGGAAGACAGGGCCAUUCAACUAUCUUGGGGACCCUAUGGCUGCACAUAAGUCAGUGGGUCCAAGUGAUUUUAGCAAGUAUGUUCGUCAGAUUUGCAAAGAUGAUCCGGCCCUGCAGGAGUUGAGCCUCAUGUUGAAGCAGCACAAUGCCAAGUGCAUGUUGAGCACGCCAUUGUUAAGGAACCAGUUGCAGUCUGACAUGUUCUUUUUUUGCGGAAAAAAUGGUUGAACUUGUGAAGGACCGAUGUAGAUGUUGUUCAAAUCGAGGAUUGUCGAAGUGUAUUAGUCUCCAGAACGCUGGUUUGUAUUGUUCAAGUGCUUAUAUAUAAUAUGCGGCUGGUAAUCACCGCAGGACAGUUUUUGAAGUUGGACGUCGUCUUGAUAUGGGUUGUGAUGAAGUCCCCAGAAAUUCAAAUGUUGAGGAAGGCCAGCAAAGAAUGAAAAGGAUUUGUGUUGAACAAAACAAAAACAAAGAAUUAGCAGAGGGCGAGGCGCGGAAUGAAGAUGAUGCCCCUGUGUACAACAAUCCCAUGGUGGAGAGAGAACCAAAUGAUACGACGAAGAUGUUUGAAGACAGAAUUGUAGUCUAUGCAUAGACUAUCGCUGAAAUGGUUAAAUCUCUAUAUGAUACAAAUGCAGAGGAGGCAAAUUGUGUUUACUUUCAUUCAAUGGAGGCUAAGUUACCCAGGCUUAGCAUUUGGUUCCUGCACGCAUCGCCAAGGCUGUUGAGGGUAAAUGAUGUAUGUGUUCAGCAGUAGAUUGUUGGAUCGCCUGCUCUUGAUCAUGAGGUUGCUACUCUUCUUCUGCGGAGGUUUCAUCAGCUUGACAUUGGGCUUGGGGGAGUAAAUACAUAUAUGAUGUGGAAGGAAGUUCUUGAACCAGAUUUUUCGACGCACGCUCUUGCUGGGGAGAAAGUAUUGCACGUGAAAGCUAUCCAGGGUGUACUUGCGCAAGCGAUUCAUGAUAUAACAACAUGUAGGAUGUUUUUUGUCCCUACCGUGCUCGAUCAAGGGUGGGCGGCGUAUAUGUGGGACAUGAUGAGGAAGGAGAUUCAUGUCCUCAACCCUUUGUGUCGCAAAGUUAUAGGUCCAGAACAACGUAAGCUCAUGCAUGAGGAGGCAGUUUCACAGAUACAUGCUGCAUUAUUCGGCUACUUGAAUGAAUACUUUGCAAAGUGGCAUUGCACAUCUGAAAGUUGGAAGCGCAAGUUCCCAAAGAUUACAAAUGACAUUUUCACAAGGGAUGAGUCUGGAAUAUGCAUGAUGCAUGCAAUUAGGAAUUACAGUGGGGAGAAGAUGAUGUGUCCACUGACAAAGAAUAAUAUUGCAAGUUUUAGGAAAGUGGUUGCAUAUGAGGUUUUCCGGUUACGGGAUGAUCAAGGUGAAUUCAUGGCUGACGAUGUUCUGCGUGCUACAUUUGAUGAACCCGAGGAAUGAUUUGCAUGAAACAGGUUUAUGUGCUUCGGGUGUUGGGUUUUAUCACCUAGGAGUAAGUAAAUAAUGUGGUAAGACGAGUGCACUGAGAUGAAGGAAAUGCUGAAAAUCAUGUACUGUAUAUGUAUGCGAUGUAUGAUGGACUAUGUUUCAAGUAAUAAUGUUGUACUUUUUAUUUAAAUGUUUACGGAUGUGAACAAAUAGUUUAAUGUCUCAACAGAACUAGAUGGAAGUUCUAUGGCCAUUGUAAGCGAAAUGUUUUCAAUCAA